UCUUGUUGUUUGAAUAAGUGCAACGUUGUCUUUAUGAAAUAAACACUAGUAUGUCUAUAAAGGUUCAUAUAAUGCAUCACCACACCGGUGUGAUGUUGACGUAAUGUGAUGUCGUCGUUUUAAUGAUGGACAAAUUGCACACAUUCGCUGGUCAAAAACCCGCGGGGGGUGCCCUUUUUUCAGUUUCAGCACAUGCCCCUCAAAAGGUCUGUGCACGGCCCUGACGGCACCCAUUCACUGCAGAGGACCCAUUGGUGAGCAAGUUAGUUAAUACUAAAUUUCUCCAAAUAUUUGAUCAGUUUCAUGUGUCCUUGAUAAAAGUAUGUUUUUCAAGACAAUGGAAAAGAAAAAAAGGAGAAAUCUUUUAAAGGCAUCAUGAAGCUCCAUUCCUUAAAAAAACAGAAUCUCCUUGCAUCUUUUUUAAAGCUGUAGUGUUUUAUGACCUCAUAAGAAACACAUGCAGGAGUGCUAUGGUACAGUUUACUCCACAUUUCAUCCAACAAGAAUGAAAGAAAUGAAAAUGUAGGAUAUUUUUAUAGUCACAUCCACACACAACCUUAUCACCCUCUUCUGGUUGACUAGAAUAUUACACCACAUGUCCAGUAUGUCAAGUGCAUGUUCUCAACCUAUCAAUUAUAAUCAGAUUAUUGACCAACAUUCAUUUGAAACUUUAAAUUGUUGUUAUACUUCAUGUUUGUAAUACUUUCUGACAGAACACAGACAUUUUCAGCUCUGCUGACCACAUUCACAGAUAUUAGUGUUAAAAAGGUCUCAUGGCAGGUUUGGAAGCGAGUGCAUCGAGUUUAAUACAGAGCCGAGCAUGUAAUUGUUGAAAAGCAAAGCUAUGGAUAGAUGGUUUAUGGUCUGCUAGUGUGUAUGACUUGUGUGUUUCUUUGGGGUCAUAAACAUACGAAGACCUGUUUUAACAUUAUUGCACAGAUAAAUUAUGACAAUAACAGUUUUCCAUGUUUUUAAACCCAUUUGCUGGCUGUGUACGUAGAUAAUUGUGUCCCUACCAUAGAUGGUGUUAUAGUUAUUUUUUGAUAUGGAUGAAUAUAAAAGAAUUACAAUAAUAUUAUAGGAUGUUGCUCCAACAUUCUGCCUUAAAAUUGCAGACUGUUUUGGCAUUUGUCUGCUCAUGUUUUAUUUUCUUUUUUAUUGUGAACCGAUUAUGUCCCUCGGUCUAUCCUAAACUGAUCUGAGACCAGUUUGGUUUAUUUUAAUAGAUUUUUUUAGUUGUUGGGGCUGGUCCUAGAUCAGGGCUUGGUGAUCCAUUUUAACCUGAGUGAGUUCAGUAAAUCUAAACUGAUGUUAUUUUAGCCAUACUUACCCAAAGUACCCUUUAUAAUAAACUCACUUUACAUUCCAAAUGGAAAUGAGAAUGAAAUCGCUCUUUUGUUUCUGUUGGAUAGUUUAGAUUUCUAACACGCAGGCUCCGGGUCUAACACAUGCCAAACAGCAUAUAGACAGCGACGUGCACAAAACUCUCAAUGCAAAGGGCAAUAAAGAGUCCCUGUAUGCCUCAUGUGAUCACACACUAUUAUAUAUUUUGUAGGUUUGUCAUUAUGCAAGUUUGAAAACACUCCGUUCUUCCUGUCGUGGAUCGCUAAACCACACAGAUGCUCUGAAGUACGUUUAGUUUUAAGGUUUUUAGUAUAACAGUAUUCUGGGAAAAAGAAAAAACCUUUCUUUUUAACCAUUCUACAGCUUCUUUUUUAACAGUAGACCUGAACAUGGCUCUAGACAUGUUUGUUUUCUUAUUAUUUUUUGUAUAUGUAUACGGUUUUCAAUUUCCGAUCUUCUGUUUCAUCUGUUAUUCUUUCUGCCUAACUGUACAAUAUUAAAUAUGAGAUGUUAUGCUGAUAA